rnacentral:rRNA from 1 species
AUUGAACGCUGGCGGAAUGCUUUACACAUGCAAGUCGAACGGCAGCACGGACUUCGGUCUGGUGGCGAGUGGCGAACGGGUGAGUAAUGUAUCGGAACGUGCCCAGUCGUGGGGGAUAACGUAGUGAAAAUUACGCUAAUACCGCAUACGAUCUAUGGAUGAAAGCGGGGGAUCGCAAGACCUCGCGCGAUUGGAGCGGCCGAUAUCAGAUUAGGUAGUUGGCGGGGUAAAGGCCCACCAAGCCAACGGACUGUAGCUGGUCUGAGAGGACGACCAGCCACACUGCAACUGGGACACGGUCCAGACUCCUACGGGAGGCAGCAGUGGGGAAUUUUGGACAAUGGGCGAAAGCCUGAUCCAGCCAUUCCGCGUGCAGGAUGAGGGCCCUCGGGUUGUAAACUGCUUUUGUACAGAACGAAAAGGUUUCUACUAAUACUAGGAGCUCAUGACGGUACUGUAAGAAUAAGCACCGGCUAACUACGUGCCAGCCGCCGCUGUAA